GGACUACCCGGGUAUCUAAUCCUGUUUGAUCCCCACGCUUUCGUGCCUCAGCGUCAAUAGUUGUGUAGCCAGCUGCCUUCGCAAUUGGUGUUCUAUGUCAUAUCUAUGCAUUUCACCGCUACAUGACAUAUUCCGCUAACCUCCACAAUAUUCAAGGCUUAUAGUAUCCACGGCAAUUUCCAAGUUAAGCUUAGAGAUUUCACCACGGACUUACAAACCCGCCUACGCACCCUUUAAACCCAGUGAAUCCGGAUAACGCUUGCACCCUCCGUAUUACCGCGGCUGCUGGCAC
rnacentral:rRNA from 1 species